GACGGAGGGUGCAAGCGUUGCUCGGAAUCAUUGGGCGUAAAGGGUGCGUAGGCGGCUUUUUAAGCCUGACGUGAAAGCCCAAGGCUCAGCCUUGGAAGUGCGCCAGAAACUGAAAGGCUUGAGUGCCGGAGAGGAGACUGGAAUUCCUGGUGUAGCAGUGAAAUGCGUAGAUAUCAGGAGGAACACCGAUGGCGAAGGCAGGUCUCUGGGCUGACACUGACGCUCAUGCACGAAAGCGUGGGGAGCAAACAGG
rnacentral:rRNA from 1 species